rnacentral:rRNA from 1 species
UACAGAGGGUGCGAGCGUUGUCCGGAAUCACUGGGCGUAAAGGGCGCGUAGGUGGCGCCCCAAGUCCGUGGUGAAAGCUCGCUGCUUAACAUCGAGUCGGCCACGGAAACUGGGGGGCUGGAGCACUGUAGAGGCAGAUGGAAUUCCGGGUGUAGCGGUGGAAUGCGUAGAGAUCCGGAAGAACACCGGUGGCGAAGGCGGUCUGCU